CCUACGGGAGGCAGCAGUGAGGAAUAUUGGUCAAUGGACGAGAGUCUGAACCAGCCAAGCAGCGUGAAGGAUGACUGCCCUAUGGGUUGUAAACUUCUUUUAUAUGGGAAUAAAAUGUUCCACGUGUGGGAUUUUGUAUGUACCAUAUGAAUAAGGAUCGGCUAACUCCGUGCCAGCAGCCGCGGUAAUACGGAGGAUCCGAGCGUUAUCCGGAUUUAUUGGGUUUAAAGGGAGCGUAGGUGGAUUGUUAAGUCAGUUGUGAAAGUUUGCGGCUCAACCGUAAAAUUGCAGUUGAAACUGGCAGUCUUGAGUACAGGAGAGGUGUGCGGAAUGCGUGGUGUAGCGGUGAAAUGCUUAGAUAUCACGAAGAACUCCGAUUGCGAAGGCAGUUCACUGGACUGCAACUGACACUGAGGCUCGAAAGUGUGGGUAUCAAACAGGAUUAGAUACCCGGGUAGUC
rnacentral:rRNA from 1 species